rnacentral:rRNA from 1 species
GACGUAGGAGGCGAGCGUUGUCCGGAUUCAUUGGGCGUAAAGAGCGCGCAGGCGGCUUGGUAAGUCGGAUGUGAAAUCCCGAGGCUCAACCUCGGGUCUGCAUCCGAUACUGCCCGGCUAGAGGUAGGUAGGGGAGAUCGGAAUUCCUGGUGUAGCGGUGAAAUGCGCAGAUAUCAGGAGGAACACCGGUGGCGAAGGCGGAUCUCUGGGCCUUACCUGACGCUGAGGAGCGAAAGCGUGGGGAGCAAACAGG